rnacentral:rRNA from 1 species
AAUCAACGCUGGCGGCGUGCCUAACACAUGCAAGUCGAACGAGAAAGUGGAGCAAUCCAUGAGUAAAGUGGCGACCGGGUGAGUAACACGUGACUAACCUACCUUCGAGUGGGGGAUAACCUCGGGAAACCGGGGCUAAUACCGCAUAAUGCCUUUGGGUUAAAGGAGCAAUUCGCUUGAAGAGGGGGUCGCGGCCGAUUAGGUAGUUGGCGGGGUAACGGCCCACCAAGCCCGUGAUCGGUAGCCGGCCUGAGAGGGCGCACGGCCACACUGGAACUGAAACACGGUCCAGACUCCUACGGGAGGCAGCAGUGGGGAAUUUUGCGCAAUGGGGGAAACCCUGACGCAGCAACGCCGCGUGGAGGAUGAAGUCCCUUGGGACGUAAACUCCUUUCGACCGGGACGAUUAUGACGGUACCGGUGGAAGAAGCCCCGGCUAACUUCGUGCCAGCCGCCGCCGUAAGAC